CUGAGAGGUGGGAAUGGAGUUAGCUGGGGCUGAGUGCUGAGAGGUGGGAAUGGAGUUAGCUGAGGCUGAGGGCUGGGAAUGGAGUUAGCUGGGGGCUGGAGGUGGGAAUGGAGUUAGCUGAGGGCUGGGGGUUGGAGCUAGGGCUGAGUGCUGAGAGGUGGGAAUGGAGUUAGCUGAGGGCUGGGGGCUGGAGGUGGGAAUGGAGUUAGCUUGGGCUGAGUGCUGAGAGGUGGGAAUGGAGUUAGCUGAGGGCUGGGGGCUGGAGGUGGGAAUGGAGUUAGCUUGGGCUGAGUGCUGAGAGGUGGGAAUGGAGUUAGCUGAUGGCUGGGGGUGGGAAUGGAGUUAGCUGAGGGCUGGGGGUGGGAAUGAGGUUGGCUGAGGGCUGGAGGUGGGAAUGGAAUUAGCUGGGGCUGAGGGCUGGGAAUGGAGUUAGCUGAGGGCUGGGGGUGGGAAUGGAGUUAGCUGAGGGCUGGGGGUGGGAAUGGAGUUAGCUGAGGGCUGGAGGUGGGAAUGGAGUUUGCUGGGGCUGAGGGCUGAGAGGUGGGAAUGGAGUUAGCUGGGGCUGAGGGCUGAGAGGUGGGAAUGGAGUUAGCUGAGGGCUGGGGGUGGGAAUGGAGUUAGCUGAGGGCUGGGGGUGGGAAUGGAGUUAGCUGAGGGCUGGGG
ensembl:lncRNA